rnacentral:rRNA from 1 species
GACGUAGGGCGCGAGCGUUGUCCGGAUUUAUUGGGCGUAAAGAGCUCGUAGGCGGCUUGUCGCGUCGACUGUGAAAACCCGAGGCUCAACUUCGGGCUUGCAGUCGAUACGGGCAGGCUAGAGUUCGGUAGGGGAGACUGGAAUUCCUGGUGUAGCGGUGGAAUGCGCAGAUAUCAGGAGGAACACCAAUGGCGAAGGCAGAUCUCUGGGCCGUAACUGACGCUGAGGAGCGAAAGCAUGGGGAGCGAACAGG